rnacentral:rRNA from 1 species
GAUGAACGCUAGCGGCAGGCUUAACACAUGCAAGUCGAGGGGUAUAGUUCUUCGGAACUAGAGACCGGCGCACGGGUGCGUAACGCGUAUGCAAUCUACCUUUUGCAGAGGGAUAGCCCAGAGAAAUUUGGAUUAAUACCUCAUAGUAUGUGAGAAUGGCAUCAUUUUCACAUUAAAGUCACAACGGCAAAAGAUGAGCAUGCGUCCCAUUAGCUAGUUGGUAAGGUAACGGCUUACCAAGGCAACGAUGGGUAGGGGUCCUGAGAGGGAGAUCCCCCACACUGGUACUGAGACACGGACCAGACUCCUACGGGAGGCAGCAGUGAGGAAUAUUGGGCAAUGGAUGCAAGUCUGACCCAGCCAUGCCGCGUGAAGGAAGAAGGGUCCCUCUGGAUUGUAAACUUCUUUAUCGGGGAAGAAGAAUCACCUUGCGAGGUGAAGUGACGGUACCCGAUGAAUAAGCCACGGCUAACUACGUGCCAGC